AAAUGUAAACAAACCAAAAAUAACUAACAUGACACAAACGAAACACUAACGUAACAAAAAGGAAACGGAUCUACACGGAUACGGACUCAAAAAAAAAAACAAAAGGAACUACAUCUGUAUGUGCGGACGGACAGGAAUUGGUGGCAUCGGACAACUGUAUGGGAUUUACCUGUUGAUAUCCCAGGCGUACCCACCCUGCCUGUAUCCAAAGACAAAAUGUUUCUUGGAUACCCUAAAUUGGGCCGUGCUUGGGCUAUUCCAUGGCAAAGAUUAUGACCGAAAAUGCAAUUAUAAAACAUAAAAAAAACAAUACGACGAAGGCUUGCCAACAGCCAAUACUAAUAAGCAGUGAAGUCUAUGAAAAUAAUCUGGAUCUUAUGUGUGUAUAUAAAUUGCGAAUGCGGGUACGCGGAGCACGUUGGGCUGCUGCUUUGCUGUAGCAGCUUCUACCAAUAAAACGACGCGUAGGACGACUGCCUGGCAGUUGCAGCUCAAAAAAAAAGGUAACCGGCGCGUGGCCAAGGAACGGACUCACCGCUGAAACUUCCUCCGCUGCUGAUGGCGCAGACUGACGUCGUUGUUGCUGGCAUUAGCGCUGCUACUGGCGUUGCUGGUGCUGUCGGUGCGGCCGUUUCUGGCAGCCGUUGUCUGCUCCCAUGCUGCUGGAUUUACCGCUGUUGCUGGAUCUGCCGGGGGAGCUGCUGGCCGCGCUAUUGCUGAUAGUGGCCGCUGCUGUCGUUAAGGGUGGCACCCGCUGAUGAUGGUGCUGAUGCUGCCAAUGGUGCGCUGCUACCGCUGUUGAUGGUGGUGUGCAGCUGGCACUGGCGUGGACUUUCGCUGCUGGUGCUGCUCUCUUUGGCGCGCUAGCGGACGCCUUUUCCUCUCGGUCAACUUGCCACUAUGUCGUUGACCGGACGGCUCCCAACCAAAAAAACCUCGUGCUACGACUCCCCUUUUAUAGGCCGGAUGCCAUGUGCCUCGGAUUUUUUCCUCCUUUUUCCCUUUUCAUCCGUUUCUUGUAGCCUCUCGUUUCCUUCUCUCUCGAGUACCAUCGGACCGCAACUCUGCGCCUGUGCGACCGCAGUUGCCACCCCGGCUCCUCGCUAGGUACCGCUAGAUGGCGCUCAUGCGAAAUUUAAAGUUUAGCGCCCUUAUCCGAUGCUGCCAAUUCGAGCUUUUGUCCCCGACCGGCCCGAUGCAACACCACCGCAAACACCCAAGUGGGCGGACACUCGCGCACCGAAGCGAUGUUUGCGCGCAUCCAACGGCUGGUGUUAGCCCGUUUUCCGUUCCGAGCCCGGCGUUGUCUUGCGUGACUCCUUUGCGGCGCCCAACGUAGGCCACACCUACUCUUAGUCUUCUGGUGAGUAGCUCCAGUUGCGUUCUCCUUUCUACGCCCAUCAAUUCUUUACUUCUUUCUAUUCACGUAUAUACCAAAAUGUCCCAAAAACUGAAUCGUCGUGGCUAGCCUGUGCGCGUUAUGAUGUCGAUGCCAGUGUUAGACGAAUCUUCCUUGGACUCAGCGUUCUCUUCUCGCAUCGUCAACUUGAUUGAUGUACUUGCCGGUCGCUACCAGGUGGACACUGAGCUUUCGCAAGGAUGCGAUGACGAGAUCCUGACCAUGUGUGGGAAUAAGCGAGUGCAUGGCGCGUACCUCCAAUGGAGACGAUGGACUAAAGAGAUGGUGUAUGACACCUCGAUGCGUAGCCGUACAAUCGUGCUCCACCGCAAACUGUCCCCACAAUUAUUUAAUUUUCUAAUAUUUAUUUAUUUUUUUCUUUUUGUUAUGAAUUCCUUUCCAGACCCCGGGGACCUCCGAAAUCAAAUGUAAAAUUCGAUAAAUAUAUACAUACAUAUAAUAAACAA